GGUGGCUCAGUGGUAGAGCAUUUGCCUUGCAUGCAUGAGGCCCUGGGUUCAAUUCUUCAGCACCA
rnacentral:tRNA from 1 species